rnacentral:RNase_P_RNA from 2 species
GGAGGCGUGCCACAGAUUGAGGCUCCUCCCACCUUCCAUGAGCGACUCAGAUGUGCUGAUGCAGCCUCCUCCACGGUCCUUGGAAGUGGCUCAUGGCUGGCGCAGUUAGUCCAAUGGCUGAGGUGAGGUAGUUGCACGUGAUUGGUGCGCACCUCAUAACCCAAGUCAGACUACUCUCC